GCCGCCGCGCAGGCAGGUCCUAAUGCCUGUCACUUCCCAGGACAUUGGCAGCGGCAGCCCGGAGCCCCCGAGCCCUGGGCAGGUUUGCCUGUCCUUCCCGGCGAUCUGAUUGGAUAAAGUGGGGGUUCGACGGUGGCCGACGUGGGACAGUCUGGCUGUGGCAGGGGUCUCGGAAACCAUGGGUUAUUGCAGUGGCAGGUGCACGCUUAUCUUUAUCUGUGGCAUGCAACUGGUUUGUGUGCUGGAGAGGCAAAUAUUUGAUUUCCUUGGAUAUCAGUGGGCACCUAUCCUGGCAAAUUUUGUACAUAUUAUCAUCGUCAUCCUUGGUUUGUUUGGAACAAUUCAAUAUAGACCUCGUUACAUAACAGGAUAUGCUGUCUGGCUAGUCCUCUGGGUGACGUGGAACGUGUUUGUUAUCUGCUUCUAUUUGGAGGCGGGGGAUCUCUCAAAGGAAACAGACCUUAUCCUGACAUUUAAUAUUUCAAUGCACCGAUCUUGGUGGAUGGAGAAUGGACCAGGAUGUAUGGUGACAUCUGUGACGCCAGCUCCAGACUGGGCCCCAGAAGACCAUCGAUACAUCACUGUCUCAGGGUGUUUUCUGGAGUACCAAUACAUAGAAGUGGCUCAUAGUUCCCUCCAGAUCAUCCUCGCACUGGCGGGCUUCAUCUACGCCUGUUACGUUGUGAAAUGUAUAACGGAAGAAGAGGACAGCUUUGACUUCAUAGGUGGCUUUGACUCUUAUGGAUAUCAAGGACCUCAGAAGACAUCUCAUUUACAACUACAACCAAUGUAUAUGCAAAUUCCCUUGGAUAACAACUGAUAGCAAAUUCUAUAUCUCAGCAUCAAGUGAUAUGCUGAAUUGCAAGAGAAGAUCAAAAUAGAAAGUCAAAAUAACACAGAUGACUUCUGUCUGCAGCCCACGGACUUCUCAAAUGACUUGUACAGUGGCCUCCUGCCUUUUAUGAAGAGCAAGAAGCAAGUGAAUUUAAAUACACAUACAUGUUACCAGACCAAACAGGAAGUUUCUACAUAGACACGUGUGAAAACGCAAACAUACACGCACACAACACACACACACACACACACCGCUCUCACUAUCAUGCACACAUCAACUCCACUGGACAUUUUUUUUUUCCGGACUGUAACUGAUAAACAUGCAGGACACGCCCAUCGUGGAUUUCCUUAAAGCAGGCUCCUUUCUCCCAGGCCUUUGAAGGUGGGAAAGGAGACACGUUGGCGCCCUCAGCAGGCUGUUACUUACUCCUCCACAGCCCAGCCUGUUGGCUCUGUGAGGUGCCAAGUUAACCCAGGCACACCUGUUUGGAACCCUUUUUCUGCACCCCAUACCAUACAUCUUGAUAGCACCACAGCUACUUAGGGAGCAUAAAUUGCAAAAAAAAAAAACAGACAGAACAUGCUGUGAUGACCUUGUACCAAAUGCGAAAUGGCAGGUUGUUUGCCCUAAAGGCUAUAUCGUACUCACUUGCCUUAACCCACCUAAGUUGUGUGCCCGAGACUCUCAGUGCAGAUGUCCCCCAGUCACUUCCUUUAGGCUAACACACUGCUAUUAAUUCCGAACAAUUUGACUCUGUCUCACGCCAAGGAACAAGACAGAAACUCUCAGCAGCAGCAAUGCAUCUGUGUAAAGAAAAUGAUGCUGUACCACUGAGCCUCUCCGGUGGCCACGAAGAGACAAGUACCAAUGACAACAAACAACUGUCAUCUUCCUGUCUCUCAAACAUGGUCUUCUGAUGUAGUCGGGGGCGAAACAAAGCAAAAUGUAUUAAUCUACUAAACUCAUUAAUCUACUGAAAGCAGAGAUGGCUUGACCGCUUGGUUGUAUUGCACUCUAGGUGCUUCUCUAAGUAUCUACAAAUGGCUUUUCCUAACACAGGGAACAGCUGUGGAUUUCUAUGACAGAGGCCAACUGACUAUGUAUUAGCUAUGUUUACUCUUUUAUAUCUAACUCAAAUCCAAGACCCAAUGUAGGUGAACUUUCUUUUCUAACUUCGGCGUACGAGAUUAUUUUUGGGGUGGGUGGGGGGAGCAAUAGUUAACUUAGUGAAAUCUUUGAGAUCUCUUUGUGGUAUUGGGGGGAUCUGUUGUGUGUUAGAGUGUAUUUCAAUCCUCCUGUAUUAUUGUGGCAGAAAAAAAAAAAAAAAAAAACCUGUGCUGUUGACGUAGUUGGCAAUGAGAUGCCUUUGGAGACAAUAGUAGGUCAAUGUGUUUAUGGGAUAUUCUGAACUCCUAGGAAAUUUAGUUCUGUAUUUUCAAGCACUGUUUGGUUUUCAUUAGUGGAAAACAUAACUAGCUCAAGCUUAUCAGUAACACAAAUGAAGUCAUGUUUUUCUUGGAUCCACUUGGACACUAAAAUCAAGUUUUCUUUAACACAUCAUCUUGACGUGCAGUGCAGCUCAGACUGAGAAGUUAGACACUGGCAUGGAGCAAGUUUGGUGUUUUUGUUGUUUUUUUUUUUUUUUUUUUGGUACUUACAGUUUUAUUUACUGGGUUAACCCUUUUUGCGUCUUAACCCAUUCAGUUCUCCGUUAGACAAGCCAGUGACUGUCUUCGCAUCGACAUUUGUGAAACAUGCCCACAUACCCAUUUAAAACCGAUGAAGGAACUGAAAAAUGACCAUUGGAACACAAACCACAUGCACGAAAAGAUUUCAGCACUCACACUUGAGUUUUCCCGGUGGCUUGUCUCUGUUGGCCCCUAGCUACAUGCGUAAAGUGAACAGUUGCACACAUGUCCGUGAGACCUCAUAUGGUGUUUUUACAGUGAUAUGCAUGUUUCAUGUUUGAGGAAAACUAUUCACAAAUGUGCUGUCCCUUUAUUCCUAAAAUAUAAAUACUAUACAUGCCAGAAGCUAUUCUAAUGUGACUAUUCAAAUGAGGUCUCACCGCCCUGCUACUGUGAUGGGAUUCCACCUUGUAGUACAUGUGUAGGGAGGGAAUAACAUAAGCCGUCACGUUUCUUUCUAAGUUGCAGCCAACUGUCCACCAAGUCACUAUAUCACAUCGCCACCAAAUUUUUUCAGAAACAGUUGUUGACUACUAGAGAGUAGUCCAAGGCCGGGCCUUUUUAGGAGCAGUGAGCACAGUCGUGUGGUUGAUUCUAUCUGGGGAAACAUCAAAGUUGUACAGCUGUAUCCUCCUCAAAAUCUGGUGAAGAAUGCUAUUUUUCUAGGCUGAGCUUUUGUUAUAAACCUAAUAUUCUGAAAGCAAGAGUUAACAACCCUGAUCUGUCUUUUUUUUUCCUCUCUCUCUCUCUCUCUCCUGCAUUUGUUAAUUCUGAAUGUAUUUUUAACAGAGUGAUUUUUUUGACUUACUAGUGUAAUUUGCAUUUUAAAAAAUAAAUGGAAAAACAACGAA